rnacentral:lncRNA from 1 species
UGGCUAUUGAUGGGUUCAGAGAUAGAGAGGUCUUAAAUAAUUUGAGGCAGUGAGAAUCCAGGUUCUGUAAGACUAAGAUCACAUAUUAUUCUGAUACAGGGAACUGGCUCAAGGCUGAAGAUGAUACUGAGAAUGUAGGUCAGAACAACUAAAAGAUACUAUAUAAUAAGAAUCUUUAGUGAUUAUUCCCAUUUGUGCCUGAAUUUUUUCUAUGAAUUGUUACCAAAAGUAAUCUGAUAUAUUGUUUUAUAGUGUUGAAUCUUUAGUGUUUCUCCAAUUUUUU